UACGAAGGGGCUAGCGUUGUUCGGAAUUACUGGGCGUAAAGCGCACGUAGGCGGGUCGUUAAGUCAGGGGUGAAAUCCCGGAGCUCAACUCCGGAACUGCCUUUGAUACUGGCGAUCUUGAGAUCGGAAGAGGUGAGUGGAAUUCCCAGUGUAGAGGUGAAAUUCGUAGAUAUUGGGAAGAACACCAGUGGCGAAGGCGGCUCACGUGGUCCGAGUACUGACGCUGAGGUGCGAAAGCGUGGGAGCAACAGG
rnacentral:rRNA from 1 species